rnacentral:siRNA from 1 species
GGCAUAUGAUAGUGGUUUAGUGAA